GGGAGUUUAGCUCAGUCGGUAGAGCAUGAGACUCUUUGGGCAGAUUUACUCUCAUGGUUUAUAACGUUUAAAAUGUGCUAUUAAAAUGUGACACCAGAGAGUGCUGGCAAAGAGGGAAUGCAUGUUAAACGUUAUAGAACAUUACUUUUAAUAUCUUCCUAAUAAUGUUUAAAAGAUCGAUGUAGUUCCAGCCUUUAUCCCAGAGUUGUGGGUUUGAACCCCACAUUCCU